AUUGAACGCUGGCGGCAGGCCUAACACAUGCAAGUCGAACGGUAACAGGAAGAAGCUUGCUUCUUUGCUGACGAGUGGCGGACGGGUGAGUAAUGUCUGGGAAACUGCCUGAUGGAGGGGGAUAACUACUGGGAACGGUAGCUAAUACCGCAUAACGUCGCAAAACCAAAGAGGGGGACCUUCGGGCCUCUUGCCAUCGGAUGUGCCCAGAUGGGAUUAGCUAGUAGGUGGGGUAACGGCUCACCUAGGCGACGAUCCCUAGCUGGUCUGAGAGGAUGACCAGCCACACUGGAACUGAGACACGGUCCAGACUCCUACGGGAGGCAGCAGUGGGGAAUAUUGCACAAUGGGCGCAAGCCUGAUGCAGCCAUGCCGCGUGUAUGAAGAAGGCCUUCGGGUUGUAAAGUACUUUCAGCGGGGAGGAAGGGAGUAAAGUUAAUACCUUUGCUCAUUGACGUUACCCGCAGAAGAAGCACCGGCUAACUCCGUG
rnacentral:rRNA from 1 species